GCUGCUGCCCAAGUUUCUCAGAGUAAAUGUUAAAGACAAUCCGUUCUGUGUGCUGAAAAUCAGGCCUCUUCAUGAAAGCCUGGUGGUGGGAAAUAAUUCACAAGGAACCGUGGUUGUCUCCUACAGGUGAUAGACUGAGCAGGCAGUCUGAAGGAAGAAGAACAAAAUCAAAACAAAUACCCUAUGAAGAGAAAAUAUUCAUAGAUCUGCUGUUCACUCUGCCACUUGGGCAAAGAUAAGGAGAAAAAGAGUAUUUCCUGCUAUUUUACACAUAACUUGACCACAGGACUGCAAAUAUUAACAACAAAAUCCUGAGUUUGCUGUUUUCUUGGACUGACAGAUACCACCAGCUCUUUAAAGAAGUGUUUACUUACAUCCAUGAGGAUUUCUUAGUACAAUGUGCAACUGCAGUGCACCAUGAACACUUCCUCAGCAAGCAGUUUAAUUGGGAUUUCUCCCAAGAAGAAAGGCACAAGUAGAAGCUUCUAAAGUAUAAAAAUAAUGUUUAUGCCAUGGAUGAGGUAUGGACAUUUUAAAAUUCCCCACAUUGCCAGGAGCAACUGUGAAAAUGAAUCCAGGGGAGGAGACGUUGCAUUCUGGCACAGAUCGGAUAAUAAAAGGACAUCAGCAGCUCUGUGUGGGUUGCUGGCUGGCUCCCACAAGCUUCCCAAUACUCUUCCCAUUAUGUUUUAAUAUUUCUGUACUGUAUAUUUCCUAAGGAUUCUGGUUCAUACAAUGGGAGCAUGGUUGCAUGGCAGAAAAUAUCAGUGUACUCAGCAUAUCAACCACGUCUGCAGCUCCCCUUGGCCUGAAUUGGGAUUUCCUUAGAAUCUAA